ensembl:lncRNA
UUUUUUUUUUUUUUUUUCUUAAAUGUACACAGGGAACAUGAUUCUUUUUAUGCAAACAAUAACUUAGGCCCUGUCGUGACUACAGUGAAGUGUAGCAUCACUGCCGGCUCCGCCACGGGAGGGCUGGAGGAGGCCAGCCCAGGCCAGCAGUGCCCGAGGUCACCGAUCGCCUCCUGCUCUGCCCCCCGCUCGCGUGCAUUGGCCACGCUGCACCGACCGCGCAGCGGCCGCCCCCCACCGGACCAGCGACAGAAACUGCCCGCUUCCUGGGCCACUCUCUGACCUGGACACAAGACCACGUGCUCCGAGGGAGGGAGCCCACUCCCGUUACACCUCAGAGCCACGGAGCCGGGGCCACUCCCUGCCGCAGCUUCCCUGGAUCCCUGCGCUGCCUUCGGGAAAUGAGCGCCUCAACAGGACCCAGGCCCCCGCGCGGCAGGGGCCCUCCUGGCCACCUCACCCUAAUUUUUCUAGCUGGCGCCCCCAAAGCAGUGGCUUCUCAUAGGAAAGGACGGGAGGGGAGCGCAGCUGAGGUGACUCUUGAUGACAAGACGCUGCAGCUGGCCUGCUGUGGAGUUGUGUGUGUGUAUGUCCAGAAUGCCUGGUGGCCUGCGGGGGUCUCAACCAAAGGGAUGCUGGCUUGACCCAGGCCUCCCUUCCCUAAGAGCAGCAGAAGCUGACUGAGGCACAGGGAUGCCCCAUCCCCUUCUGGCCAGCGAGCUGCUCCUAUGAUGUCACCCUCUGUCCACCGUGACAAAGACAGACAUAUCCUGCAGAAGAAUCUGGGUCGCAGCAGGUGCCGCGCCUCCAGCAGGAAGCAAAACCAAGGCGGUAGAGGCAGGAGAGCAAGGACACAGACACCCUGAAGCUCUCUCCCUCUUCCUCUCCAAAUGCUAGGCGACAGGAAAGACAGGGACAAUGCAGAGUAAAUGUGUGCCGUGACACCCAGUGUGCGACACAAGCCAAGAAUUCUAAGUGGAUUCACGAGCCACGCCACCCAGCCUCGGGUCCUCCCUCCUCAGCCGUCAGAGCCAGGAUCAGUCUCUGGCUUUGCACCAAGGGCUGCUGUUCCCUCACACGGUGUCUGCACUCUCGCUGGGUGGCAGUGGCUGCCCCACGUCCCCAUUCUGGACAAGCCAACGCCCACCCGCCCAGUGCUGAGAGCUGCAUGCAGGUCCCAUGAGCACCCUCUGUGCAAGCACCUUCCAGAACUUAGAGCCCCGAUGAAAGCAGGGGUGGGGACAGCACGGUUCCAACAAUCCCCAGGGAUGCUCCCACACAAGGGCCUAUUCAGUCUGCACGCUGCCCUGACCGGAUGCUGAAGCCUGGCCUGCCACGACUGGCCAUGCCGCUCAAACGACUGAGAUGUCCUCUAGUCCCUCAGCCCGAAGCAGCAGACGAGAGGCUGAAGAGUUAGUGGGGGAAACAAGAGGAACCCCGGGGCUUCCUGUGCAUGGAGGCUCCCUUCGGACAUGAGCUGCCACAGUCCCCGCCUGCCCACCUUGGCUGACAGGGCGCUGCGUUGGGGGUGCCCCAGGCCUAGUUUCAGGUACUUCUGUGAGGGGACGGGUAGAAAGCCCAGGUGCUCCUCCUCACCGCCCCCUCCACACUCCGGGGAAGUCACUGGCUGCACACACAUCUGUGGAAUCAGGGGCCAGGUGGCUUAGGCCGUAGCUUUCGUGCUCACAAAACAGGUGGCAGUGUUAGCUCAAGCAGUGAGGGGGACUGGGCUGCUUUUGCCUGCGUUCAUACAGGGAUGGCCCAGGCCACCACCAUGCUUUCCCUCCACUCCCAAUUCCGUGAGGUGCUGACCAGGUGAGCAAGACCUUGAAAAGGGGGCGGGGUGAGUCAAUGCGGCCGUUUCCUCAUCUGCUGGGGCCCAGGACUGGGGGAGUUUGGGAACCUAUCUGCCAACCUCAGCUACAACGAAACACAGAUGUCACCUUCCAGUCAACCCUGGGCCUACAGGGCCAGGCACAGCUCCGCCAGAAAAGACAAAAAUUCAUCACCCAACAUUCACAGAAAACACGCCUGGACCCUGGGUUUUUCUCCCAUUAAAACUUGCAAGGGUACGUGAGUGUUUCCAAGCACCUUCGUUGGCCAUUGUGAACUGGAGACAGUGAGCCAGCCGUCCCCAGAGGGAGCCUGGGAGACGAAGGGCCACUUCUGUCUCCAACCACUACAGGUGGGCAUGGGCGGGGCAGCUGCAGACGCCCAGGAGGUGUCCAUCAGGCCCCCUGGAAUAUACCACAGAUCCUAUUUCUUAAAGUGCAACGAGCCCCAAGGGCUGUCUGGUGUGGGGCCCUCUGCACCCCACUAGCUCUCGCCUGGGGGGUGCCCAGUCUUCCUGGCUGCAGAGGCCAUGGCCCAGCCAUGCAAGUUUGCAGUGCUAGAGGGCAGAGGUGGGCAGGAGAAGAGCUUUUCCUGGAGCAGUGGAAAGGCUGGGCUAGGGUGGUAGUGGGUGAUAGGCAGGCACGGUGCCUCUGGGCCGGCAAGGACCAGGAAGGAUGCCCCUUCGAGGGCACCAGCAGACCGCCAUUCCUUCAAAGUGCCCCACCCCGCCCACAUCUCCACGAACACUCCUGCCAGUGGCCUCCAUGGCUGGGAUGAAACGAUUCCACUUCAACACCCAACACACCAACCCCAACCCC